rnacentral:tRNA from 1 species
GGAUUGGUGGUUCAAUGGUAGAAUUCCUGUCUUCCGUGUGGGAGACCUGGGUUUGAUUCUGACCAGUCCA